GAUGAAGAACCUAGCGAAAUGCGAUAAGUAAUGUGAAUUGCAGAAUUCAGUGAAUCAUCGAAUCUUUGAACGCACAUUGCGCCCCCUGGUAUUCCGGGGGGCAUGCCUGUCCGAGCGUCAUUACAACCCUCAAGCUCAGCUUGGUGUUGGGCCCCGCCGCCCCGGCGGGCCCUAAAGUCAGUGGCGGUGCCGUCCGGCUCCGAGCGUAGUAAUUCUUCUCGCUCUGGAGGUCCGGUCGUGUGCUCGCCAGCAACCCCCAAUUUUUUUCAGGUUGACCUCGGAUCAGGUAGGGAUACCCGCUGAACUUAAGCAUAUCAAUAAGCGGAGGA
rnacentral:misc_RNA from 1 species